GAUAUUCUUGUCGAAAACUGUGCUAUCUGUCGUAAUCACAUUAUGGACCUCUGCAUUGAAUGUCAAGCCAAUCAGGAUUCUGCUACGCGUGAACAAUGCACAGUUGCCUGGGGUGCCUGCAACCAUGCCUACCACUUCCACUGUAUUUCUCGCUGGCUGACUACUCGUCAUGCAUGCCCACUGGAUAAUACCAAAUGGGAAUUCCUAAAAUAUGGACGUUAAGUGCCCUGUCCUUUGUUUUUUUGUGGAAUUCUAUUUUAUCAGCGCGUUUCAUAUUUAAAAACUUCAGUUGUUGUUGUUUUUAACUCUUUCGGAAUCUUAAAACUCGAAAUUUGCUGAAUUUUCGUGACUCAAAAUUUAAAAAAUAAAUGUGCCCUGCCCUUCAACUAUUUUGAAACUACAAAUUAAUCGACGUAAUAUUGUAAGAAUCGUGAAAUUAGAUUGAAUAUUUUUCGAAAAGAAUGGUGCAGGAAUGCUUUCGAACUUUGUUGUCUUAGAUUUCGCAUGAAAGAUAUUUUUCUAGUUAAAGUCGGUGCGCGAGUUCAUUUCUUAUUCUUAAUCUGUUUCUUCCCUUUCGGCUGUUGGAGAGGAAAAACCUCGUUUUUUGCCCCACCGCCC